AGCGUUUCUAUCUGGCAGUUGUUUUGGGGUUUUGUGUGUUUUUGGUAUUUGCAGCAUUUUGUCUUUGGCAUUUGUUUUGUGGGUUUGUAAGUUUGUGCUUCUGCUUCGUUUCUGUGAUUGCAGCAUUUUUCUGUUGCUGCGUUUUUCUGUUGGAUUUGUUUUAUGUGUUUGUGUGUUUUUGGAUUUACAUCAUUCCCGUUUUAAUCAUUUCAGUCGUUUCAACCCUGUUUGUUGCCUUGUUCACUUGAAAACAACCUUGAACCACUGAAAGAACCCGUUAUCUUUGACAACAACAUCUAAGCAUUGAAGAACGUUUUCUGUAAAAACAGUUAUUAUACACUGAACUCACAAAACUUCGACAACAAGUCGCCUUUGGAUGUCCGUCGGGAAGCGUGGAUUAAAGAGCAGCAGAUAAAGAGACCUUGAGGACAGUCCACCCGGCCGGAUCAGUGGGACCAGUUCCACUACAGUGGGUCCCAGGAGGAGAGGAAGAGAGCCGUAUGGAAGCCAUGCUGUCCAGCUUGGACUGGCUUAUGUCCGGUCUGGACUGCUGACAUCUUUACAGAGAUCUGCUCCAUCAACAUCCUGGAUCAAGCUCUAGAUGGGCGAACUGCGUUUGGAGCCGACAGAGUGCAGGAUGAGAGAAGGUGGACUGCUUAAACGCAGUGAAAGUGGAUGGAUUUUAUGUGAAGAUGAAACCAUAUUAUCAUCACAAUCUUGUUGCUGUUGACAUUCAACCAGACACAAAAGAUGCACUGCAAAAUUAUUUCCUGUGUGUAUGUGUUAUAUAUAUAUAUAAAUAACUGUAUGUUGGUUUAUUUUAUUUUAUUUUAAUAAUUUUCUGUUAUUCUACAAUUAUAUUUUUCAAUGUGUGUAACAUGAAGUAAAUGUAAACUUUUCUUUUGUAAUAAAACCUUGUGCUGUAUAAUGAUUAAAAA